UACAGAGGUCCCAAGCGUUACUGAGAAUCACUGGGUUUAAAGGGUGCGUAGGUGGUCCGUUAAGUCAGUUGUGAAAUCCCCGGGCUCAACCCGGGAACUGCUUCUGAUACUGGCGGACUUGAGGCCAGUAGGGGUCACUAGAACUGACGGUGGAGCGGUGGAAUGCGUAGAUAUCGUCAGGAAUGCCGGUGGUGAAGACGGGUGACUGGGCUGGUUCUGACACUGAGACGCGAAAGCGUGGGGAGCGAACAGG
rnacentral:rRNA from 1 species